CCCCAAAACUGCCACCCCUGCAUCAUGAGGGUCCUGUCGCUGCUGCUGCUACUGGCGUUCUGCUGCCUCUGGGCCCGGCUGGUGGCUGUAGGGCUCACCUAGCCUGUUUGGACCUGGACCAAGGACCCCACUUGUGCAGUCUCAUGUCAGAAAGUCAGCCAGACAUGGACUCAUCCAUCGACUGCAGAGCGAGCACCCAUCAUCUCCCAUCCCAAAUCCACCCCUCCACCCUCAGCUCACAACUGGGUGUGGGGAUCUCUGUGCUUCUUCCUUGCUAUUAAAGCCCAUCCGCAAUUAGCUCUGCUGGUUUCUGAGAUGUUCAGUCUCCUGGUGAGCCUUCAUUGGAUCCCCGGCCCCCGUGGGAGGGAAGUGCCAUGGCAGCCAGCUGGUCCUGAGGCCAGCACACGUCCUGCCCUCACAUCAGGCUGCUCACCCAGGUUAUGACGUGUCAGGGGCAUCUCUGGGUUUGUGGAAGAAGCUGUGAAGAAGCAAGCUCCCAGAUGGCCUGGAGAUGCCAGGCAUUGUGACAAGGGACAGCUUGUUGUGUUGAGCAAGUGGCCCAUUGUGGGAUUUAUUAGGAAACAGAAGGUUCUGCCCAAAACAGCGCUGGUGUCCAGGACUGGCCCUGGCAGAGUGAGGUGAGGAGAGGCUGGAGGCAGCUCCGUGUGCCCACCUGCAAUGAGCUGUCCUCGCACCCUGUGCUCUGCACACACCUCACAGUGCUGGUCACUGAGCUGCUGCCAGCAUCGCUGCCAUCUCCACCACUGUCAUCUUCAGUCAUCGCUGUCAUCAUCAUCAUCAUCGUCAUCAUCGCUGUCAUCACCCUCCUCACCGCCUCCAUGUUCAGACUUUGGUUUCUCUCCUGACUCAGGCUUCUCCCCACUCUCCUUUUUCCCCCCAGCCUCUGGUUUUGCCCCCCCCUCUGGUUUCUCCCCCAUCACAGGUUUCACUCCACCCUCUGGCUUUCCCCCAGUCCCCGGCUUUUUCCCACUCUCAGUUUUCCCUCCACUCUCCAAUUUCCCCCCACCCCCCGGUUUCUCCCCACUCCCUGGUUUUACCAUUGCUCCUGUUGUUAUCUUUGGCUUUUCCCCAGCCCCCCCCUUCCCCUCACACUCUGGCUUCUUCCCCACGCUGGGUUUCUUUGGGAUCUCUUGCUUUUCCCUCAUUGUGCUGCCUGCUGGAGGCUUCUCCCUGCUCCCAGCUCCAUUCUCAGCCACAGGUCUCACCGCCGGCCGCUCUCCAUGCAGGUGCUGCUCUGCACUGCCCCGCUCUGCCCCCGGCUGCUGCUGCACAGAUGGGCUCUGGGUGCCAUCCCGCUGCCGGCAACAGGCAUCUGCUGGCACUGCCGCCUGUGGCUUGGUCACAGGGAGGAUGGCUGCUGCUCCGUGCAGCCCUGGGCUGUACCUUCCUGGUGGAGGAAAUGGAGAAAGGUGAAACACCGAUGGCAGCAAGAUCUUAGCAACAUGAAAUGAAGAUAUUACGUAUUAUUCAACCAGGGCACAAACGUGGCAUUGAGAAUAGCUGUGAAGCAAGUGCAUACGCUUUGCUGUUAAGCAAUAGCAAACUAUCACACAGAAACAGCACAACACAGCGCUGACAUUCACUGCCUGCCUUAGAGUCUCCCUCUCUGAAAUGGAAUGGGACCACAGCAUUAGGAAGGAAGGCAUCACAGCCACUGACCGGCUGGCAAAGCAUAAGGCUUCAAGCCACAACUUAUCCAGGACCUAAAGAAAUUCAUCCUUCUAAAGGGGAACAUUUAGGAGACGAUGAAGCCAUUUCUGCAGACUCAUUUUCAUCAGAGCCUCAUUGCAGAGCAGCGGCAGGUCUGGCUGACACUGAGCAGUUACUGCCGGGCAGUUGGAGCUCAAACAUCAAACAGCCCAACUUAGAGUGAACGCUGAGUGAUCUGGAGGAGGAGACGGGCAGAGUUUUAAACACUGCCACGAUUCUUUCAUGGGAAUUUCUCUUCUUGCAAAUGAACUCCCAGGCUGAGAGCCGUGCAGGGGUUGCCUGGCUGGAGCCGCACACAGCCCAGGUGGGGGUGAAGGAAGCAGCUCCCCGGCACUAUGGCUCAGUGCCGGUGCCACCGCAGGCUCCGUCCCCAGCGGAGUUCAGCCUCCACGCAAAGACCCCCCGGCACCAGCCCCAUCCGGGCAGAGCGGGGCUGCAUCCUCCAGCGCUCGGCGAACGGGGAGCCCCGGCCCCAGCCAACAGCACCAGAAAAAGCAGCGUCAGAAGGAAAUAACAGAAAGCAAGAGAAGCUUCUGCAGCUGGAGCGCUCUGAACCGGACUCGCACGACAUUUAACGUUUCGCAGAAGCCAAAGGUUAGGAGCCUUAAGCAGGGCUAGAGCUCGCGAGGGUCGCAGCUCUGGCAGAAAGUGCUGGGAUAUAAAACCAAAGCAGAGCCACCCGCACAGCGCACAGCGCACCUCACCCACCGCGGGGCCGUGCUCACCUGCAGCGGGCGCGGCGUGCAGCGGGACACCGAGGGCCAGCAGCCCCAGCAGGAGCCAAGCACCCCCCCGCAUGGUGCCAGCACCCUGCCCGCACGGCGCCCAGACGGGAUUUAAGCUACAGCAGAGAGGCGGCCCCGGGCACCUCCCACGUCCUGCGUGCCCCGUGGGACACCCGCAGCAGCAGGGCAGGAGGAGACACCGGAACACCGGGCUGCGGCCAGCCCGAUUCUCGGCCCAUAAACCCUUAAUGGGCACUGGUAACAUCAGAGCUCCUCGUUCACCCCCAGGGGCACCUUCCCAGAUUGCAGAGCAAGAUUUCCCCCCCUCCAUUGCCCCGGAGGAGCUCAGCUCCACCUGUGCAGGGUUGAAUGUCAAUGCUGUAGCUUGUUAUGCUUUAAAACCAGCAGGAAUAAAUGUCUCCUGGCAGACA
ensembl:lncRNA